rnacentral:lncRNA from 10 species
AGUGAGCAAUGCAAUUCUGGGAAUGUUCAGGCUCUCUCUGUUCUUUCCUCUCUUGCAAACCAUGGGCACCCUUGGGUCCCUUGGGGUCACUAUGUUACACCUGCUUUUUAUCUGUCUGGGCAAGAGCUGCUCAAGCCACACCUUGUGACACUGAGGAGGACAGCACAUUGCACUCUCACCUCCUUUGCAGUUAAGUGUGAAAUAGUGCCAAUAGAGUGUAAAAGAAAAGAAAGAAGAUGAUUCACCUCCCAAAGAUUCCCCACUGCUGUGUCCCUUCUAUCAACUUGAUACAAAAAAACACAAUGGCCCCGGGAACCACGUGUUGAAGAUGAGAGAGCUAAAAGAUGGAAAGAGACUGGAGCCCUGAGUCACCACCUGGAGGAAAACUACCCACCCAUCAGGAAUUUCUACUACACAUUUGGGAGUUUUUGGGGUUACAGCAGCUAAUUUAACGAAAACACCCAGAGACAAGAGCUAUUACUGCACAAAUUGGUUAAGUUACCUUUUUGUAUGUUUGGGUCCUCUCUAUUCGAUGAGACUGCGCGUUCCUUUGAAGCAAAUCUGUUUAAAAUUCUUAUAUCCCCAGAGGGCCUAGCAGAGAGUAUGCACAGAGUGAGCCUUCAGUAAAUGCUGAGUAAAUAAGCUCCUAAUGGAUGAAACUGUGUCUUCGAAGUUUGUUCUGACCAGUACUUAGUAUAGGAUUUUGUGCUGUUGGUCACUUUUCAUAAAGGUUCUUGCUAUUAAGGAACUUGACAUCCAAUGUACUCAUAGAAAGUAGAAAUUCAGGGGAAACAAAUAGAAGAGAUAUGUCCAAAAAUCCAUUUAAAAUUUCAUUGACAGAUAUUUAUCUCUUUAAUCCUGGAAGUUGUUUCAUGUAAGGGAAGGUUCAGUAGAAUGAAAACAGGACUGUAAGCUGGGAGGAGAUUUGGGGUCUCUUGGCCAACUCUGCCACAAAUUGUGUUACCUUCAACUUCCCUGCCUGUAAAAUGAAGUCAGUGGUCCCUAAAAUGAAAUUGGACUAAUGGCAAAUUAGCUAGCAUUUGAUUAUACAUCGAUAGUUUCCCCAUGUGAUUUUAACGCACAAAUCAGAUUUUGGAACCAUUAGGUAGGUGAUCUUAUCUUAUGAGUUUAUCUUUUUCAACAUGGAAAAAUAAAUUUGUUUUGCUGACCGAAGGCUGUGUAACUUAGAACUGGAAAGAGACAUGUAAUUGAAUAACCCAUCUCUAUGGGGCAAAAAAAUGAAACACCUUUAGUUUGUUCAAAGAUGAAAUGGAAAAAUAAACAUGUUUUAAGAUGACUUGGUAGAGAAAAUAUUUUCUUUGCCAGGAUAUUAGAGAAUUUGUCAAAAGUUAUUACACAGGAAAGUCAAAGGUUUCAUUGCAGGAACUUAAUAAAUAUUUGUUUAUUAGCUGAUUAAUG